rnacentral:lncRNA from 1 species
UUUUAGAGGUAUUUCUUAUUUAUACUUCUGUUUUAAUUCCUGUUUGGGAUUGCGCUAGGCGCUGUACGUGCAGCCAGAUGGAACCUAGCGCCGAAUCAAUUAUGCGGGGAUUAUAGGGGGAUUAAUCAGAGCUUAGUUUUAGGGUGUUUAUAUUAGUUAUCGGAUAGAUAUUAUAUAUGGUAUAUGAGUACAAGAGAUGUUGAGUUGGUUCAGUGGCUUAGACGCUUAGUUUGAGUUGUAGGUGACGGGUUCAAA